CUCCAUUGUCUGUUUGGGGCGCCAUGGCGUCCAGCAUGGUUAUCAAGGUUCGAUAUUUUGGAACCUCAAAGGUUAAGGUUGGGGACAGAGAGAGGUAUUUGAAAGCUCCUAUUGAUGAGAAUGGACAACUGAGUUUUGACAUGGGUGGAUUGAGGGAGAAAAUCUGCAGUACUUGUUAUCUCCCACCUGGUUCAGACAUUACUCUAGUGUAUAUCGAUGAAGACGGUGAUGUAGUUACUCUUGUUGACGACGAUGAUCUGCGAGAUGCAAUGAGGCAGCAUCUGAAAUCCUUCAGGAUUGAUGUACUGAUGAACGAUAACGAAGUUUAUCGCAAAUCAAGCUCCAAAAGGAGUACUCGAGUGAUGAUGGAUUCUGUUGGAUCGAGUCUUGGCACUAGUGAUGACAACAUGGAGACCAACAGAGCUAGUACCAGUGGUUAUGCAACUCGUGAUAAUGAUUAUACAAGUAGCCCUUCUUUCCAUGAAUGCUCCUUCAUUGCAGAUGACCUGGUUAAUCCUACUGUUGCUUGUUUUAAAAGGAACUACUCUGAAGCCAUAAGUGGUAUGAUGCUUCAUACCGGUGCUUGCUGUGAUGGCUGUGGUUGCAAUCCAAUAACUGGAUCUAGGUUCAAGUCCAUUUUGUGAGGAACCUACUUAAAUCAUAGUAACAUAAUAUCCUAGUAACGAAAACAUUGUCCAAAUCUUAUCAAUCAUUGACAUUUGUUUCUGCAGAAGAGAAGAUUAUAACCUCUGCCGUGUCUGCAUUGCAAGUAGGGCCCUAGCUACAUAGGCUGAUGCUUCCCUCGAGAGAAAUCACUCUUUGAGAGCUUUCAAGAUUCAAACCUGAAUCUGCUUCAUGAAAAAUGUGGUCCUAAACUCUAAAGAACCUGGAAACAUAGAUGUGAAUCUUCAACGAGCAUUCAGUGGUGAUUUUUUUGCAGCUGAUAAGCUCUAAAUGAACAGCUUAAAACUAUGACCAGGAACUCCAAUCCCCUAAAUAUUACCUUGAUUAUGACCAGUUUUUCAGUCACAAUCCUAAUUUUUUUCUUUAAUUCUUUAAGAAUCAACUGUGUAUACUAUGAGCACACACGUUUGUUUUGGGCUUUUUAGUUCACCAACAAUAUCUUGUCUACUACCACCACCACCUGCUACAGUAAGUCUUGUUGGUUUUGUUUUGUCAAUUGGGUUGCUUUCUAAAACCCAUAAUGUAUUAGGCUUCAUGAAAGUGAAACAGAGCAAGAUAGAUUGUUUGUCACUCUGUCUCCAAUUUAUAAUUCUCCAUGUCUAUUAUACAUGUCAAUCAGUAUCAGAUCAAAAUACGAGUUCACAGUCUUGCAUAAGUUCAUAACAAGAAAUGUAUCUUGUUCAUCAGUGACACUAAACUUCGAAAUAGAAUCACUAGUCUUAAACAAAUGGUAACGAAGUCCGUUGAAUACCACUUUUCGGAACCAAUGGAUAGCAGAGAAGUUACUAGGGGUCCUCUGGAGGUUCUAAUUAAAUUGCAGUUCCAGUGUACGUACUCUUGCACCAACCUUCUGUAAAGUCUAAACUAAGCCAUGAACCAAAUUCCAAUUUGAGAGGGACAGCUAGUCUAACCCAUCUUUAUGCAAGAGCAGGCACUCAUUAGGCAUGUCAUUAGUUGCUCCUUAAUUCAAACCAUGAAAAAGGCAACCAACAGAGACAUGAAACCACUCU